AAACGUCGUUUUUGCUAGGGCCUUUUCCCCUCUCUCUCUCUCUCUCUCUCUCUCUCUGAUUGAAGAAGAAGAAGAUGAUGCGAACAAGGUUGCUAUGGUCGAGCUUGGGAUUCGUGUCAGCAAGUGCAGUGUUCUCUCAUUUCAUAUGGAAGGACCUUUGGGUUGAUCGCCACGCGCUUUCCUCAGAAAUUGACCACCAUUCUCACGCGCUCCAAGCUCGCGUCUCCAACCUUGAGUCCUCUUCAUCAUUGCCUGGUAAUCAAAAUCCAGUUUCUGAUCAGAUUGAAGGCUCUAGCUAAGUAUUAUUUUCUGCUCAAACGUUGUGUCUUCAAGAUUUUGAGAGUGCUUUGCUUCAAAGCAACUGAUGAGAAGACCCAAAUUUUCUUUUCCCUUUGAAAUUAGCAGAUAGUUUACAAUGAGAUUUUAUUAAACAAUAUGCAACAUUAUAAUAUAACAAUUCCAUUCCUUUGGAGGUUGAAUUGAAUAUUGGGUAUAUUUUGGUAACCAAAGAAAACAGCUGAAGUAAUAUU